GCGCGAGAAGUCGAAGUAAGGAGCAGAAAGCGUUGUUAGUGUUAGUUCUGGCCCGUUUGGACCCAAACUAAAGUGUAUCAGUAUGAAGCAGGCGGAGACGGCGCACUGAUUCACUCUCAGAGCUCGGUUCACUAAUGACCGAAUCACCGAGGAACCGACCAAAGAUAACUCACACCCGCACAGAGAAGAAGAUGAGCUGGAGUGGGGCAAAGAGAACUGCAUUCAGAUCAAACGGAUACAAGAGAGGUGGCCGAGUUGUUUGAGGAUCUGAAGAAUCGAGUGUCACAAUUCAACAUGCACAUCAGCGAAACUUCCUCUGACUACACCAGCGCGCGCACACACACAAAUUCAUAGUGCAGGUAAUACACACACACACACGAGUAGAGCAGAUGUAGUUUAACAGCAUAUGUGUAUAAAGAGGCUUUUUUCUUCAGGUCAAAAUAUAUACAGCAGGGGUGCCCAAUAUGUCGAUCGCGAUCGACCGGUCGAUCGCAAAGGAAGUGCGGGUAGAUCGCCAUUAAAAAAAAAAAAAAGAGGUUAGUUGACGUACAGGGAAGCCAGUCUGAGAUC